rnacentral:rRNA from 1 species
GUGGGGAAUAUUGCACAAUGGGGGGAACCCUGAUGCAGCCAUGCCGCGUGUGUGAAGAAGGCCUUUGGGUUGUAAAGCACUUUCAGUAUGGAGGAAGUGAGUCGAGUUAAUAACUUGGUUCAUUGACGUUACAUACAGAAGAAGCACCGGCUAACUCCGUGCCAGCAGCCGCGGUAAUACGGAGGGUGCGAGCGUUAAUCGGAAUAACUGGGCGUAAAGAGCUCGUAGGCGGUUUGUCAAGUCAGAUGUGAAAGCCCCGGGCUUAACCUGGGAACCGCAUUUGAAACUGACAGACUAGAGUACUGUAGAGGGAGGUAGAAUUCCAGGUGUAGCGGUGAAAUGCGUAGAUAUCUGGAGGAAUACCGGUGGCGAAGGCGGCCUCCUGGACAGAGACUGACGCUGAGGAGCGAAAGCGUGGGGAGCAAACAGG